GGAGGAAAGUAGGGGAUCGCAAGACCUUGCGCUUUUGGAGCGGCCGAUGCCUGAUUAGCUUGUUGGUGAGGUAAAAGCUCACCAAGGCUUCGAUCAGUAGCUGGUCUGAGAGGACGACCAGCCACACUGGGACUGAGACACGGCCCAGACUCCUACGGGAGGCAGCAGUGGGGAAUUUUGGACAAUGGGGGCAACCCUGAUCCAGCCAUGCCGCGUGAGUGAAGAAGGCCUUCGGGUUGUAAAGCUCUUUCAGCCGGAACGAAACGGUUACGGUUAAUACCCGUGACUACUGACGGUACCGGAAGAAGAAGCACCGGCUAACUACGUGCCAGCAGCCGCGGUAAUACGUAGGGUGCAAGCGUUAAUCGGAAUUACUGGGCGUAAAGCGUGCGCAGGUGGUUUUGUAAGUCAGAUGUGAAAUCCCCGGGCUUAACCUGGGAACUGCGUUUGAAACUACAAAGCUAG
rnacentral:rRNA from 1 species